GUUUUAUAAGCUGAUGGAAGUGUGCUGCUCUUAACGGUGAGGUCACAGGGGUUGCCUGUAUGAAACA
rnacentral:tRNA from 1 species